rnacentral:rRNA from 1 species
AUCACUCGGCUCGUGGAUCGAUGAAGAACGCAGCAAACUGUGCGUCAUCGUGUGAACUGCAGGACACAUGAACAUCGACAUUUUGAACGCAUAUCGCAGUCCAAGCUG